UACGGAGGGUGCAAGCGUUAUCCGGAUUCACUGGGUUUAAAGGGUGCGUAGGUGGGCAGGUAAGUCAGUGGUGAAAUCCCCGAGCUUAACUUGGGAACUGCCAUUGAUACCAUUUGUCUUGAAUACUGUGGAGGUUAGCGGAAUAUGUCAUGUAGCGGUGAAAUGCUUAGAUAUGACAUAGAACAUCAAUUGCGAAGGCAGCUGGCUACACAAAUAUUGACACUGAUGCACGAAAGCGUGGGGAUCAAACAGG
rnacentral:rRNA from 1 species